rnacentral:rRNA from 1 species
UACGGGGGGGGGCAAGCGUUGUUCGGAAUUACUGGGCGUAAAGGGCUCGUAGGCGGCCAACUAAGUCGGAUGUGAAAUCCCCAGGCUCAACUUGGGAACUGCAUCCGAUACUGGAUGGCUUGAAUUCGGGAGAGGGAUGCAGAAUUCCAGGUGUAGCGGUGAAAUGCGUAGAUAUCAGGAAGAACACCCGUGGCGAAGGCGGCUUUCUGGGACGGUACUGACGCUGAGACGCGAAAGCGUGGGGAGCGAACAGG